rnacentral:tRNA from 1 species
GCGGAUGUGGUGGAAUUGGUAGACACGCCAGGUUUAGGUCCUGGUGCCUUCGGGCGUGGGAGUUCGAGUCUCCCCAUCCGCACCA